rnacentral:rRNA from 1 species
UGAACCAGCGGAAGGAUCAUUACAGAGUUGCAAAACUCCCUACACCAU